rnacentral:rRNA from 1 species
UACGGGGGGGGCAAGCGUUGUUCGGAAUUACUGGGCGUAAAGGGCUCGUAGGCGGCCAACUAAGUCGGACGUGAAAUCCCCAGGCUCAACCUGGGAACUGCGUCCGAUACUGGAUGGCUUGAAUUCGGGAGAGGGAUGCAGAAUUCCAGGUGUAGCGGUGAAAUGCGUAGAUAUCUGGAGGAAUACCGGUGGCGAAGGCGGCAUCCUGGACCGACAUUGACGCUGAGGAGCGAAAGCCAGGGGAGCGAACGGG